GUCUCCAGGGCAGGGGCCCCCAUUCAGCCUGUUCCCAUUGCCAGUGUGAGAUGCCCAGAUGUGGGGCACCCAGGCCUGGGAUGCCCAGGCAUGGAGUAUCCAGGUGGAGAAACAUGGGGCUAAAUGAUGAUCUUGAAAAGGGCCCUCACUCGUGAGCCUUCGCCAUGUGCCAGUCACUAUGCUGAGCACCUUGCAGGUCUUGGGUGUUUAUUUAUAUAAAUAAACAGAGGAGAACCGUUUAUGAACCUAUGGCAAGAGGAUGGCGUGAAUAAGGGAUCAUGAUUAAUAGAAUUCAGAGACAAAGGGAGAGAAAACAAACAAAAAACACCUCUGGAACUUGUUGGAGCUCUUGGAAAAGAAAAGCUGUGAGUGGAUGUUCAAGAGGGUAACCUAGGGCCUCAUGCAUUGGGGCAUUCAGAAGUUUCGUACUGGAUCAAAAACAACGAAUGAAGCCUGCAGUGCAGAGAAAACAUUGUGAUAUGAGGGUCUUGCUGUGAUGACUGGAGCUGUGGCAGCCACCUUGUGACCAUGAGGGAAAAGCCAAGAGACUAGUUGAGAAGCCAACUGAGAGUUUUACCGCCAACUGAGAGUUUUACCUCCAUUGAGCUGCUGGAUUUGCCAACUCUA
rnacentral:lncRNA from 1 species